GGCGCCUCCUCCCCGCUCCGGCGUAGCCUUCUGCGGACUCGCACCGUCACCGGAGCGCCUUCUCGCCCCUGCCGGCCAAAGCUGCCCCCUGGAGCGGCCCUGUGAACCGGCCAUUGCCCACGUCAGCCCCUGGGUCACUAAGGAGCUGGGUCCUCCGGGUGUCCUAGAACGGCUCCAGGGAUGAACUUCCGCCCUGCGGCCGGCCGCUCUGCGCGCUGGUGUCGCUCCCAGAGUUUUGACGGCUGGGGAAAUUGGGAGUCGGCUUCGCUUCUUCGCCGGGCAGAAACUGGGGGGCCUCCUUAAAACCCCCAACCUGCAUCCCUUAUACGCUUCAGGCAGGAGCCUGGAUACAGCAGCACAGCAACCGAUGGCAGAUGGGAACAGCGCUAAGCUACCUGGACAGGGACUGAGACCACUUAGCAGCCACCUGGGUCCCACCGCAGACCGUGCAGGCUCCAAAGAACUUAGCUUCAAUGUGGCACAGAAACUCCGGACACUGGCCUUUGUUUUGGCCUUGAUGAAGACAAGACUGGACUCUUUCCAUGGCGGGAGGGACAGAGAUUGGACGUUGGGAACCCAGAAGGGGCACUCUUUUGAUUUUGCUUCUGGUGCCACAAAUAAAUCUUAACACAACACAAUCUCCCA